rnacentral:rRNA from 1 species
CAGGGCGAAUGUCUUGUAAUUGGAAUGAUGGUGACCCAAACCCUCACCAGAGUAGCAAUUGGAGGGCAAGUCUGGUGCCAGCAGCCGCGGUAAUUCCAGCUCCAAUAGCGUAUAUUAAACUUGUUGCAGUUAAAAAGCUCGUAGUUGCAUUUUUGCGUUAACGGUUUGACCAUUUGGUUGGUUAUUUCGUUUUCGCUUUUGGGAAUUUCCCUUUUUACUUUGAGAAAAUUAGAGUGUUUCAAGCAGACUUUUGUCUUGAAUACUUCAGCAUGGAAUAAUAGAGUAGGACUUUGGUUCUAUUUUGUUGGUUAUUGAACCUUAGUAAUGGUUAAUAGGAACGGUUGGGGGCAUUCGUAUUUAACUGUCAGAGGUGAAAUUCUUAGA